rnacentral:lncRNA from 1 species
GGGAAUCCCUCUGGAUGCUGCGCACCCCACAGCCCCAUGGGGCCUUGCACCAUCGUAGCCCAGCCAGAGGCGGGGACAUCGUCAAGGCGGCCGCGGCAGGAGGAGGAAAGUUUGAAAAGUCACUUAAAGCAUUGCAAGAUUCUCCCCCACCCCCAGCACCAGGAGAGCCCACCGCACAGAGAGGAGCCGGGGCUCCACGUGCGCAGCGGGCCCAGGAGAAGCUGGAGUUCCCUCUAGGUCCUCGGUGGACUCGCCAUCCUUUUACAGGGUGCUGACCGUCACACCACUCUGCGCUGUCCCAGGAGCGAAGGCACACCAGCCAGCCCUGAGAAGUUGGUCAAGACGAGCCUUGUCUCGAGAGCACAGAGUGUUGCGCUCACCUCAUCCAGCAAGAAAAAAACGCAACAUGGUCGAAUUCUUCUCAACAGCCUUUUUUAUUUCUGGAACGCCUCGAUGCAACGGGGACCCGGGAAACCCAGGGAGGACUGCUUAUAUACACCCCAGCACUGGGGAGAGCUAUGUGUCCUCCUGGGAUUGGUCAGUCUGCCCGCACUUUGAUUUGUAUGCACUGGCUCCAGAGGGGUUGGCGCCAGAUUCGGGCUAGCGCCUGCGCAGUGCUGUUGUUUACAGCGACGGUGUACCGGAGGCCAGUGCCACCUUUUAGGCGCCCGGCUGCCUACAACAGAGCACAUAGGUUACAGAUGGGUUAUCUCCGUUAUCAUUGGCAUCUACAAAUGAGGUGGUUUUCUAGAAAAGCGUUGGCUGUAAAGGGUGUCUUUCUAUAAUCCCUGGGGAGCAAGGAAGGCUCGUUGAGUUAGCCCUCAUGGCUGCAGUGACACGUCAGAUCACCUUAUCAUUUUUUUUUUAUCUAAUUAAACUGACCGUGGUUUUCUCUGUUAUGAAAUUAAGAAUGUCAAAGGGACCUACCACGAAUAAAGAAGCUUUAAAUCUCCCUCA